CUCUGAAAAGUCUCUCUUCCACAAUCUGAAGAACUUCUAGAAAGUAGAAGGAAGCGAUAUUGCUUAGGGAUGGACAACUUGGCACUGGUUAUGUGUUCCAAGUGAGGUAACCUUGUUCCCAGGAAUAAAGAGAACCAGAUGACUGUAAACAUUUCCCUAAACUGAAAUGCACUGUUGUAUGUUCACCUGCAAUGAAUGGUGUAAGCUGAAUAUAAGAUUUUUGACAAAAUAAAAAUUUUGCUGUGUUCUCA
rnacentral:lncRNA from 1 species